rnacentral:misc_RNA from 1 species
AAGGAUGGUGCUCUUUACCUUUGGUGGAUUAACACACCCAUGGCAACCUUUUCCGCUUGGAGGUGAAACCCUGAUAGUAGCAGUGGAGUUCUUUAACAUCUGUAAAAUUUGUCAUUGCUGUUUUGCUACGAAAGUUUUAAGUUAUGACCUGUAGUGAUGUUUGUCUUUGUAGAAGUAAUUGAGAAUAGCUAUUUUUCAGAUACUAGUGUCAGUUCAAAUACUCAACUCUUAGAUUUCACUGUACAUCUCCCGCUGCGGAAUGAAAUAAAAACAGUUCCGCAUUAUGCUGCAAUUUAUCUUCUAGCAAUAAUUAG